UGGUAUGAGACAUUAGUUUUAAUUACCUGGCGAAGGCAUAUGCUUGUGCCAAAGAGAGCUGCAAGUGUCCAAAUGUAGCACCAACCAUUGCAAUGAAACAUGGGUAGAGUCCAAAGAAAAACAGCUCCUUCAUUCAUUCCCCACAUAAGUGCUGCACUAAGAGACAUGAGAUACGCCCCACGGUGAUGUAAUACAACACCUUUCGGACUAGAAGUCGUUCCAGAUGUGUAACCUAAUGCAAUGCUCUGCCAUUCAUCCUCUGGAGGUUUCCAAUCGUACUCAGGGUCACCACUUUGAAGAAAGUCCUCGUAAUUGAUAGCUCCUUUGCUCAACGCAUAUCUAUGUGCGUUAGGGUCGCAGUUUUCAUCACCAAUCACAAUUAAAAUUGGAGGCUUGAAUGUGUUUGUUUUCUUAGAACAUAUUUUCAAAGCUUCUUCUGCUAAUAAAAAGAACUCUUGAUCUACAAUCACAACUGAUGCAGUACAAUGAUCUAUAAGAAAAGCUACUGUGGAAGCAUUUAGCCUAAUAUUCACUGUGUUCAACACAGACCCUGCCAUUGGAACCCCAAAAUGAGCUUCAUAAAGAGCUGGAACAUUAGGUGCAAUAACAGCUACCUUGUUUCCAAGACCAAUGGAGUAGUUGGAAAGAGCUGAAGCAAAUCGACAACAACGUUGGUAAGUUUGAUGCCAAGUGUAGUGACAUGAUCCAUGAAUGAGUGAUUUUCUGUUAGGAUGAACCUUAGCUGCUCUUUCUAAAAACCAUAACGGUGUUAAGGCUGUGUAGUUUGCUGUGUUCUUUGGCAGUUCAUCUAUGUCUUUUUUCAUCACCAUUGCUACCCUAACACUAACACUCUUGUGCUAUCUUUUGUUUG
rnacentral:lncRNA from 1 species